rnacentral:rRNA from 1 species
GCUCAGAUUGAACGCUGGCGGCAGGCCUAACACAUGCAAGUCGAGCGGGAUUUGGUAGCUUGCUACCGAUGAGAGCGGCGCACGGGUGCGUAACGCGUAUACAACCUACCUUAUACAGGGGUAUAGCCCAGGGAAACUUGGAUUAACACCCCAUAGUAAUAUGUUUUGGCAUCAUUACAUAUUUAAAACUACGGUGGUAUAAGAUGGGUAUGCGUCCCAUUAGCUUGUUGGUGUGGUAACGGCACACCAAGGCAACGAUGGGUAGGGGCCCUGAGAGGGGGAUCCCCCACACUGGUACUGAGACACGGACCAGACUCCUACGGGAGGCAGCAGUGGGGAA